rnacentral:rRNA from 1 species
AUUAGCUAGUUGGUGGGGUAAUGGCUCACCAAGGCGACGAUGCGUAGCCGACCUGAGAGGGUGAUCGGCCACACUGGGACUGAGACACGGCCCAGACUCCUACGGGAGGCAGCAGUAGGGAAUCUUCCACAAUGGACGAAAGUCUGAUGGAGCAACGCCGCGUGAGUGAAGAAGGUUUUCGGAUCGUAAAACUCUGUUGUGAGGGAAGAACAAGUACGAGAGUAACUGCUCGUACCUUGACGGUACCUCAUUAGAAAGCCACGGCUAACUACGUGCCAGCAGCCGCGGUAAUACGUAGGUGGCAAGCGUUGUCCGGAAUUAUUGGGCGUAAAGCGCGCGCAGGCGGUCCUUUAAGUCUGAUGUGAAAGCCCACGGCUCAACCGUGGAAGGUCAUUGGAAACUGGGGGACUUGAGUGCAGAAGAGGAAAGUGGAAUUCCAAGUGUAGCGGUGAAAUGCGUAGAGAUUUGGAGGAACACCAGUGGCGAAGGCGACUUUCUGGUCUGUAACUGACGCUGAGGCGCGAAAGCGUGGGGAGC